GAAUCUUGUGAGCAUUUCAUGAUCUGAUUAUGUCGAAGACUGGGAAUUCUCUCUUCAUUAACCAACCAACUAUUUCAUCAACUUUCUUUGGUGAGUUCUUCUAUCACUCUCUAUUCGUGCUUGUUUUCCAAAAGCGUUCUGACUUGCGCUACCCCAUUGACUUCUCUACUCGAAUGUGUUCAUGGUUUUGUGUGAUUUCCCUUUCCCAAGCUAUAAAAUUUAUCCG
rnacentral:misc_RNA from 1 species